CAAAGACGCCCAGUGUCUCUCCCGUGCAGCCGGUGCGGUGCCAAAACGUGUUUUCCACUAAAGACCGUCAGUAUGGGAGGGGGCUGCAGUGGUACCUUAAGGACUCCCAUGAGGACCAGCAGUGUGGAGGUGAUGAUGUAAGCCUGGAGAGCUGAACUGGAGAGAAGCUUCCUCAACAGCAUAUCUGUGGGAGAGAGACACAUUUAUUACAUCUUAUAGAAGAGAGAAGCCAAGUGGUACAAGAGCUAUUGCCUAUUUCAUCCUCAAAGUACCAUCUUAGUACUAACCGAAGGUUUCCAGGACUGUAGUCUUUACCACUGGUUCCUCACAGUACAAAGAAGCCACUUUGAGAAGGACAUCGACGGCCUUGUGUGGAUGCAAAAUAUUCACCUGGUGAGAGGAAGGAAUAUGAUUGAGUGUGCACUGAAACAUUCUGUCAAGCUUUGGGUGCCCCUCCCACCACCACCUCUGGUAGCAGAUGUCUCCUCAUUUCUCCCAGCUGGAGAAGCUUCUCAGCAGACGGGCAUUCAAGAAAAGAUAAGACCUCUUCCUAAGGUACCACACAAAACAGCUGUUCUUUAUAUACACUCACCUGCCACCGCAUUUGGUACAUUAGGUUAUAUCUGCCUUUACAAAGAUAGUAAUGCCCAGUUUUGUAAGUCAGGUAUUCAAUUAACAGUAUGUUUAUCAUUGAGGUUGACGUGAACGGCACUGCAUCAUAAUCAGAGGUAUUUCUAAUAUUUUGACACCCUCAUGCGGAUAAGGUAACCAAAAUAUGAAAACCCUCUGAUUAUGAUCCAGUUAUACACAAACUACAACCCCAGUAAUAAACAUUAAAUUGAUUCCUUUCAGACUGAACAUGAGUGUGUUUGUAAAGGAAGAAUUGUUGGUUUGUCAUCUUACAGGACACUGGGAUUUAGAAGGACUCUCUUCAUUUGCCAUCAUUCCAUUUUCUUUAACAAAGUCGUCCUCAUUGCAACCGUUAUAGCCGUUACUCGCAUCAGCGUCAUCAUCAUCUUCAUCUUCAUGUUCUUCCUCGUCAUCAUUAUCCUCUUCAUCAGGUUCUCCCUCAUCGUCACUACAAAGAAAAAACUGUUGGAAUCAGAAUAGGUCGAAGCAAACUGCAAUUCUUUCUUUCAGUUAUUUGAAUUGAUUUUUUACAGUGGAUACAAAAAUCACACAUACUCCCCUCUCCACCCAACUCCUCCAGAAUUUUACCUGAGUGAGACUAGCAUGUCUCCUUUGUCCUGGGCCGCCAUUGCUUCCCUUAGGGCUUCACAACCCUCCUCGCCCAGGCAGUUCCCUGUCAUAGUCAGACAUUGAGACACACACAGACAUUUGGACGGACGGACACACACACACACACACACACACACACACACACACACACACACACACACACACACACGUCACACUGAGUAAAACAAAUGAAAUAAUUCCCUCUGCCUUGUUUGUUUCAUGGUUAAUGUGUCUACCGUUCAGAUCCACUUUCUCCAUGUGGGGCUUGUCCACAAGCGCCUGAGCCACCACCAGGGCCGCUGCCUCUGUGAUCUCACCAAAUGACAAAUUCAGCUCCUGUUGGCAGACAUGACAGAAUCAUGUCACGGCUGAGCUGGACAAUCACAAUUUAGAAUCUUCAAUGAAGCUAACAUGCAUGUUUUGGGAAAAUGGGAGAGUCCAGAGUACCAGGAGAAAACUCACAGGAAGACCUCAACUAAGAUUCGAACCCCGAACAUCAGAACUGUGAAACAGAUGUGCUAACCACUAGGGCAGCAUCAAAUUGGAUUACAGCACAGUUGAAAAGAAGUUGCACUACCUAGAGG